rnacentral:ncRNA from 1 species
AUAGAAAACACGAAUGCAUUUCAAGUAGGUUAUUCAGAGAAGCAGCGGGUGGUGGAAGCUGUCAACCGAAACUCCGGUGCAAAAAUAUGUGGGCAGGUAAUUCUGCACGGAUAGUAACCGUUAUCUACUUCGAAGGGUGACUAAAGAUAGUCAAACUUGGGUGGUACCGCGGAACUAGAGCCAUUUCGUCCCAAAA